CCGGAGUAAACACAAUAAGCAUUCUGCCUGGGGAGUACGGCCGCAAGGUUGAAACUCAAAGGAAUUGACGGGGGCCCGCACAAGCAGCGGAGCAUGUGGUUUAAUUUGAAGCAACGCGAAGAACCUUACCAGGUCUUGACAUCCAGUAAAAGCGGUAGAGAUACCGUGUGUGCUUGCACAUACUGAGACAGGUGGUGCAUGGUUGUCGUCAGCUCGUGUCGUGAGAUGUUGGGUUAAGUCCCGCAACGAGCGCAACCCUUAUGAUUAGUUACUAACGCGUAAAGGCGAGGACUCUAAUGAGACUGCCGGGGACAACUCGGAGGAAGGUGGGGAGGACGUCAAAUCAUCAUGCCCCUUAUGACCUGGGCUACACACGUGCUACAAUGGCCACUACAAAGAGGAGCAAACCCGCAAGGGGGAGCGGAUCUCAAAAAAGUGGUCCCAGUUCGGAUUGUGGGCUGCAACCCGCCCACACGAAGUCGGAGUUGCUAGUAAUCGCGGAUCAGCAUGCCGCGGUGAAUACAUUCCCGGGCCUUGCACU
rnacentral:rRNA from 1 species